GACGAACCGUGCGAACGUUGUUCGGAAUCACUGGGCUUAAAGGGCGCGUAGGCGGGCGGUCAAGUCAGAGGUGAAAUCCCACGGCUCAACCGUGGAAGCGCCCCUGAUACUGAUCGUCUCGAGGGAGGUAGGGGCGUGCGGAACUUCCGGUGGAGCGGUGAAAUGCGUAGAUAUCGGAAGGAACACCGGUGGCGAAAGCGGCGCGCUGGGAUAACACUGACGCUCAUGCACGAAAGCGUGGGGAGCAAACAGG
rnacentral:rRNA from 1 species